UACGUAGGGUGCAAGCGUUAAUCGGAAUUACUGGGCGUAAAGCGUGCGCAGGCGGUUAUGUAAGUCAGGUGUGAAAGCCCCGGGCUCAACCUGGGAAUGGCAUUUGAGACUGCAUAGCUAGGGUGCGGAAGAGGGAAGCGGAAUUUCCGGUGUAGCGGUGAAAUGCGUAGAUAUCGGAAGGAACAUCAGUGGCGAAAGCGGCUUCCUGGUCCAGCACCGACGUCAGGCACGAAAGCGUGGGGAGCAAACAGG
rnacentral:rRNA from 1 species